rnacentral:lncRNA from 1 species
CUCUUUCUGACCUAAGUUCCCUUUGCUAACUAUGACGGCCUCAACUGCUACUGGGACUUACAAUUAAAGUUUGCCAUGAGACUCUGGAGAAUUAAAAAGGAAAGGAAAGCACUAAUAGUAAACCUAAAAAUCCUUAUAACUAUUCCAUUUAAGUCUAAAGCUAAAAGUAAAAUUAUGGCUAAAUGUCCAAAAUUAAAUCUAAACCCUUACAUGAAGAAAUGGAAUUUUCUUUUUGAGGGAAGACUUUAAGAAAGGUUCUGUCUGC